UACGUAGGGUGCAAGCGUUAAUCGGAAUUACUGGGCGUAAAGCGUGCGCAGGCGGGGAUGUAAGACAGGGGGGAAAUCCCCGGGCUUAACCUGGGAACUGCAUUUGUGACUGCAUCGCUGGAGUGCGGCAGAGGGGGAUGGAAUUCCGCGUGUAGCAGUGAAAUGCGUAGAUAUGCGGAGGAACACCGAUGGCGAAGGCAAUCCCCUGGGCCUGCACUGACGCUCAUGCACGAAAGCGUGGGUAGCAAACAGG
rnacentral:rRNA from 1 species